AUUCUGGAGAGUUGGGGGAAGAGGUAGAGUAUUGGGGAGAAGAGGGAGAGUAUUCUGGAGAGUUAGGAGAAAGAGAGUACUGGGGAGAAGGAGGGGAAGAGGGAUAGUGAGAAAAAGGUGGGGAAGAGGGAUAGAAGUGUGGAGAGUUUGGGAAAGAGGGAGAGUAUUGGGGAGAAGAGGGAAAGUAUUCUGGAGAGUUGGGGGAAGAGGGAGAGUAUUGGGGAGAAGAGGGAGAGUAUUCUAGAGAGUUAGGAGAAAGAGAGUACUGGGGGAAGGAGGGGAAGAGGGGGAGUAAUAUGGACAGUUUGGGGAAGGAGGGGAAGAGGGAGAGUAAUGUGCAGAGUUUGGGGAAGAGGGAGUGUAGUGUGGAGAGUUUUGGUAAGAUGGGAUUUCAGAGGACUUCCUUUUUCUUUGUUUCUGCCUUCUUAUUUGUCUCUGCCCAGUAGAUCUCAUUUCCUUCCUUUUUCUCGAGUUUGGUCUCUCUAGAAAAUCUCCCAUCUCAUUUUCUUUUCUCACAAUCUG
rnacentral:lncRNA from 1 species